GCCUAUAGCUCAGUUGGUUAGAGCGCAUCCCUGAUAAGGAUGAGGUCGCUGGUUCGAGUCCAGCUA
rnacentral:tRNA from 1 species